UACGUAGGGCGCAAGCGUUGUCCGGAAUUAUUGGGCGUAAAGAGCUCGUAGGCGGUUUGUCGCGUCUGCUGUGAAAUCCCGAGGCUCAACCUCGGGCUUGCAGUGGGUACGGGCAGACUAGAGUGCGGUAGGGGAGACUGGAAUUCCUGGUGUAGCGGUGGAAUGCGCAGAUAUCAGGAGGAACACCGAUGGCGAAGGCAGGUCUCUGGGCCGCAACUGACGCUGAGGAGCGAAAGCAUGGGGGAGCGAACAGG
rnacentral:rRNA from 1 species